GGUUCCAUGGUGUAAUGGUUAGCACUCUGGAUACUGAAUCCAGUCACCCGAGUUCAAAUCUCUGUGAGAUCU
rnacentral:tRNA from 1 species